UCUUACUUCCUUUCCCUUUCUCUUCACCAUUGAGAGAAUACAGAAAGAAGACCAUCUACAAGCCAGAGAGCAGCCUUCACGAGACACUGGAUUUCUAGAGCCUUGAUUUUGAACUUCCCAGCUUUCAGAACUGCUUCUUCUUCAGUUGACCUCUUGAAGUCUCGGAGGAAUGGCCAUUUGUCAGGGUAUGUGGGGAAGCAGUUCACUCUUCUAGAAAUUGAAAUUUACUUCUUUGCUAAACUGCAAGGCGUGCCAAGCCGCAAAUAGCUCGGGGAUCAUAAUUCAGAAGCUGCUGGUUCAGUCUCUUGUACGCAAGUCUGUAGAAGUUAUACCACGGGCCCUCCAAGGUUCUCGGAGCAGCCAGGAAACCCAACAGGAAGAUGCUGAACUUGCCUAAAAGAACUUUCCAGAAGGCACUGGGGUAACUACUCCAUAUUUUAAACCAUAUGGUAACGUAGACUUGUCUCUUUUCUGUUAGGCCAAACCUCCUUUUGCAAAUAGAUAAGUGAUUCCUGGGGAAAAAGCACUUGUUUUCCACCUUUUCUUACUGUUUAAGGGGACUGGACUGGGAUUUAAAAGAUUUAAAUUCUAGUCCCUGCUGAAAAGUUAACAAACUGUGACCUUGGGAAAGUUGCACAUUCCCUUAGCCUGUUUCCUCAUCUGUAAUUUGAGGGGUUUGGAAGGAAUGGUCUUCAUGGUCCUGUCCAGCUUUACAGUCCUGUGACUUUACUCUGUGACUUUUUUCCUACAGUGCUUCCUUUG